GCUUCAUUGCCAGAUCCGUUAUUUGAAACUGCCAAGAGUGUAUAUUAUAUUGCUGCAGAUCAUCUCUUAACACGAGAUUCAGAUGGAUCAGAUGAGAGAUAUCAUCCUUGCUGCAAAGGAGGAAGCUGACCUACUGACCCGGUCAGUCUACAGCGGCUCUGACAGUGCGAAUG